GGGCGAAAGCCUGAUGCAGCAACGCCGCGUGAGGGAUGACGGCCUUCGGGUUGUAAACCUCUUUUAGUAGGGAAGAAGCGAAAGUGACGGUACCUGCAGAAAAAGCACCGGCUAACUACGUGCCAGCAGCCGCGGUAAUACGUAGGGUGCAAGCGUUGUCCGGAAUUAUUGGGCGUAAAGAGCUCGUAGGCGGUUUGUCGCGUCUGCUGUGAAAUCCCGAGGCUCAACCUCGGGCUUGCAGUGGGUACGGGCAGACUAGAGUGCGGUAGGGGAGAUUGGAAUUCCUGGUGUAGCGGUGGAAUGCGCAGAUAUCAGGAGGAACACCGAUGGCGAAGGCAGAUCUCUGGGCCGUAACUGACGCUGAGGAGCGAAAGCAUGGGGAGCGAACAGGAUUAGAUACCCUGGUAGUCCAUGCCGUAAACGUUGGGCGCUAGAUGUAGGGACCUUUCCACGGUUUCUGUGUCGUAGCUAACGCAUUAAGCGCCCCGCCUGGGGAGUACGGCCGCAAGGCUAAAACUCAAAGGAAUUGACGGGGGCCCGCACAAGCGGCGGAGCAUGCGGAUUAAUUCGAUGCAACGCGAAGAACCUUACCAAGGCUUGACAUACACCGGAAACGGCCAGAGAUGGUCGCCCCCUUGUGGUCGGUGUACAGGUGGUGCAUGGUUGUCGUCAGCUCGUGUCGUGAGAUGUUGGGUUAAGUCCCGCAACGAGCGCAACCCUCGUUCUAUGUUGCCAGC
rnacentral:rRNA from 1 species